rnacentral:rRNA from 1 species
GACGAACGCUGGCGGCGUGCUUAACACAUGCAAGUCGAGCGGUAAGGCCCUUUCGGGGGUACACGAGCGGCGAACGGGUGAGUAACACGUGGGUGACCUGCCCUCAGCUCUGGGAUAAGCCUGGGAAACCGGUCUAAUACUGGAUAUGACUCCAUGAUGCAUGUUGUGGGUAGGAAGCCUUGUGCGGCUGAGGAUGGGCCCGCGGCCUAUCAGCUUGUUGGUGGGGUGANGGCCUACCAAGGCGACGACGGUAGCCGGCCUGAGAGGCGACCGGCCACACUGGGACUGAGACACCGGCCCAGACUCCGUACGGGAGGCAGCAGGUGGGGAAUCUUGCGCAAGUGGGCGCAAGCCUGACGCAGCGACGCCGCGUGAGGGAUGACGGCCUGG